AACGAACGCUGACGGCAGGCCUAACACAUGCAAGUCGAGCGCGCCCUUCGGGGUGAGCGGCGGACGGGUGAGUAACGCGUGGGAACGUGCCCUUCUCUGCGGAAUAGCCUCGGGAAACUGAGAAUAAUACCGCAUACGCCCUUUGGGGGAAAGAUUUAUCGGAGAAGGAUCGGCCCGCGUUGGAUUAGGUAGUUGGUGGGGUAAUGGCCCACCAAGCCGACGAUCCAUAGCUGGUUUGAGAGGAUGAUCAGCCACACUGGGACUGAGACACGGCCCAGACUCCUACGGGAGGCAGCAGUGGGGAAUCUUAGACAAUGGGGGCAACCCUGAUCUAGCCAUGCCGCGUGAGUGAUGAAGGCCUUAGGGUUGUAAAGCUCUUUCAGCUGGGAAGAUAAUGACGGUACCAGCAGAAGAAGCCCCGGCUAACUCCGUG
rnacentral:rRNA from 1 species